UAUAUAUAAGUAAUAUUUACACUUAAAUUCGACUUAAAAAUAAACUUAUAAUAAGUUAUAUAUAU
rnacentral:tRNA from 1 species